CAACGAAAUGAAUGGAACAACUGUCAUACUCCUGAUUUGUUACAGGCAUUUUCAAUUGAAAAUGGUGAGUUAAAUCUGUCUUCAUAGCUAGCUCAACCUCCCACUUGUAUGAAAAUUGUUCAAAGUUCAAUAAUAUUGACAAAUUUGGGCGAGCAACCCAAACAGACAUAAUAGGUUAAUGUGACAAUAAUUGGGACAUAGCAGCAAAAACUGUGUAAAUAUACAUCAAAGACACACAACACAACUAAAUAAAAUAUUGUAGUUGAUAGUACAUUCAGUAUACAUUUUCUCGAUAAAGUAAAAUGAAAUAAGAAAUAAAAAAAGGAAAUACAUAAUGAAAUAGAUACAACGAUUAAAAUGGGUACGCCAGACGCGUAAAAGCAACACUAUAAAACCUCUGCACCUAUCUGCAUUAUGAACGCUCAAAGCCAAAGACCCAAUAGCUGGAAGAAUAAAUACCGAUUCACGUCAAAAAGACAUAAGACCAAA
rnacentral:lncRNA from 1 species